UACUCACAGAUGGCGUCCAAGGGAGGAGGAAGAUUCCGCUAGGUCGGGGCCACCGAGUAGCCCCACCAGCCACCAGUUCACUUUGUGUUUACCUGUCUGUCAGUGUAUAUAAGCCCUCGUCGAAGGAGGAGAGAGGGCCAGUCUCGAACCACUCUCACUCACAUUUAAAGAGUUGUGGUGCCUCUCGCCGCUGCCAUUCACCUCUCGCGAGAGAAGGACGGAUUUAACUUUGACUCAUCUCGCCGCCUUCGGGUCUUCUCCGACGGAUAGAGAGUGUCCUCGCACGCUUUUCAUUCACAGUACCGAAGAUAAUGGGGAAAUACGUCGCGUUGCUGGCUCUGGUGCUCUUGACUUUGGUGGUCGUGAGUCAGGCUCUGCCGUCACCACAAUAUGCGAGAGCUGACUGCGACGACGAAAGCAUCACCCAGGCACCGAAGUCCAUCUGCUCUUGGCCAAUGUCAAUCAUCUGCAGAUUCUUCUUUCCAAAGGACAGAUAUUACAAUUCCAGGCAGCUCGACAUUCCACUCCAUACGAGCAGGUAGUGAAAGUCCGUCGACGCUACGCCUGCCGAAUGAGAAUUUGGUUACUGCUGUUGUUUUUUCUUUUUUUAUGAACGUUAUGGGCUGUUCUUAACUUACGGACCACUAUACACUUGAGUACCUGUAUUGAUUGUUUUGUAGGGAAUAUGGAUAACGUUAUAUCAUACAUAUAUGAUUCUAACGCGAAAUAACGGAUUCCUUUGCUUGUUUACAGCGUCUGCACAAGGUUUAAUGCAUCCUCCGCUAGAAAAAAAACAAUGUAAAUUAAGGAAAGCAAUAAUAAAACUCUUGAAUGGAAGAAAUAAAUUCCAAGCUGUGUAAAACAGCAUCAAGAACGAAUAGGUGAACAAAAUGUCGUAAAAAUAACUGCUGUCAAAAUAUAUAAAAAAAAAAAUUAAAGUAAGGAUCUAAUCAUAACAAAGUCUCCUCAUUUUAUAAGGGAGAAAAUUUGUAUGAACGAAAGGAGCGACCUUUGUUCUGUCUAACCAUCUUGAAGAUUACGUGAACUUUCAUGAGAACUUACCGGUGAAACCAGUCGCUGAAAAGAAAUAGGAUUAAAUCUUUUUCUUAUCUUUUCUCUUCUUUAUUUAUUUUUUUAAUCGCUUUGUUAUAGUGUGGGUAUAUUUUCUUUCUCUUUAAUAUGCCAAUUUUAGAUGUAAGAUGUUACAAACUUGUUACUGUUAUCUUGUAAAUAAUCUAUUUUAUAAUAUCAUCACAUGACUGCUGCUUUUUACAUAAUGAAUAACCACUGACACGUUUCCAUUGUCAUUCAUUUCGAAAUAAACGGAUAUUUAAU